UACGGAGGGUGCAAGCGUUAUCCGGAUUCACUGGGUUUAAAGGGUGCGUAGGUGGGCAGGUAAGUCAGUGGUGAAAUCUCCGGGCUUAACCCGGAAACUGCCAUUGAUACUAUCAGUCUUGAAUACCGUGGAGGUAAGCGGAAUAUGUCAUGUAGCGGUGAAAUGCUUAGAUAUGACAUAGAACACCAAUUGCGAAGGCAGCUUACUACCCGAAUAUUGACACUCGAGG
rnacentral:rRNA from 1 species